GACGAACGCUGGCGGCGUGCUUAACACAUGCAAGUCGAACGGAAAGGCCUGCUUUCCCUUGUGGAUUGCGGGUACUCGAGUGGCGAACGGGUGAGUAACACGUGAGUGAUCUGCCCCCAACUUGGGUAUAAGCCUGGGAAACUGGGUCUAAUUCCCGAUAGGACUGCAGGGUGGUGCCUGUGGUGGAAAACGAUUUUCUAGUGGUUGGGGAUGAGCUCGCGGCCUAUCAGCUUGUUGGUGGGGUAAUGGCCUACCAAGGCGGCGACGGGUAGCCGGCCUGAGAGGGUGGACGGCCACAUUGGGACUGAGAUACGGCCCAGACUCCGACGGGAGGCAGCAGUGUGGAAUAUUGCACAAUGGGCGGAAGCCUGAUGCAGCGACGCCGCGUGGGGGAUGACGGCCUUCGGGUUGUAAACUCCUUUCGACCGCGAGGAAGCCACCUGGUUGGAAGGGUGGUGACGGUAGUGGUAGAAGAAGCACCGGCUAACUACGUG
rnacentral:rRNA from 1 species